CUACGGGUGGCACCAGGCGAGAAAACUUUGCAAUGUGCGAAAGCACGACAAGGUUAAUCCGAGUGGUUUCUGCUAAAGGAACCUUUUGACAGUCCUAGAAACACUGUUGAAUAAGGGGUGGGCAAGUUCUGGUGCCAGCCGCCGCGGUAAAACCAGCACCUCAAGUGGUCAGGAUGAUUAUUGGGCCUAAAGCAUCCGUAGCCGGCUCUGUAAGUUUUCGGUUAAAUCUGUACGCUCAACGUACAGGCUGCCGGGAAUACUGCAGAGCUAGGGAGUGGGAGAGGUAGACGGUACUCGGUAGGAAGGGGUAAAAUCCUUUGAUCUAUUGAUGACCACCUGUGGCGAAGGCGGUCUACCAGAGCACGUCCGACGGUGAGGGAUGAAAGCUGGGGGAGCAAACCGGAUUAGAUACCCGCGUAGUC
rnacentral:rRNA from 1 species